AAGGCAUUUAAUCCACUGUUCCUGGGCCUUCAUUGAAAAUAAGAAUUUGUUCAUAACUGACUUGCCUAGUUAAAUUUGUAGUUGGAUGUCCCUUGGGGGUAUCCGUACCUAUGUAGGACAUGCAAGGGUUAGGUCAAUAAACAGGCUGGAGCUAGAACCUCGUGGUCACCCGUCUUUAUUUUACAUCAUACUACAUGGUGUCAGAAGUGGUUUUAAAAUUCACAUAAAAGUGAAGGAGGUACCAAGUAAAUCAUACAUUCAGGCUGUUUCACAGCAGGGAGGGGCACAGUGUUGGAGAUAAAACAGCGCAUAUCGCAUAUCAUUAUUUUGCUAGCUAACGAGCAAGGACUAAGCUACUGCUAAGCAACAUGUUGCAAGAGGAAGAAGCUGGCGGGAUUUCAGGGUUUGCGACUCCAAGUUCAACGGGCUCCGGCGCCAACACGGACAGGCCAGUGGCUAGUGCUGACUGAUUUCGCAUUAGUCCCCCGGAGAAUUUUGUUUGUAUGGACAUUCAAAACCGGCCGAAAUGGAUCAGGCGCUUUGAAAGGUACAGGGUAGCAUCAGGCUUAAACGUGAAAAAUGAGGCAUUUCAAGUUAAUACACUGAUCUACUCUAUGGGUGAUGAAGCCGAGGAUAUAUUAAAUGUUUCAACGUUGACCAAGGAAAAGAAACUUAACUACAGUGCUGUUAAAGACUGUUUUGAAACACAUUUUGUAGGGAGACACAACAUUAUUUUUGAGAGAGCUAGGUUUAAUAUGCGCAAACAGGAGCAGGGUGAAACCACCGACAGUUUUAUCACAGCUGUUCACAAACUAGCAGAACAUUGUCAGUUUGGCGCGCUCAGGGAAGAGCUGAUCCGAGAUUGGAUUGUAGUCGGAAUAAGAAAUAUAUCACUUUCUGAAAAGUUACAGUUGGAUUCCCAGCUUACCUUGUCCAAAGCUGUAAACCAGGUUAGGCAGAGUGAGACAGUAAAAAGACAGCAGACGAUGCUGCUCGACAGCAGCUCAUUGCAGAACGAAGAGAGUGAGGAAAUACAUGCAUUUUUAUACAGAGCUAAAACAACGGAGGGGAACAAAUAACAGAGACAGACGUGGAGAAAACAAUCACAGACAGCACCAGUAGCCAGUUCAAAUGUUUGUCGCAAAUGUGGGAAAUCCCCUUUCCACACAGAUGGAAAGAGUGCCCAGCAAAGGAUGCUGGGAUGCAGGACAUGUCACAGGAGAGGACACUUUUCAGCUGUCUGUCGAUUAAAGCAAAUGCAUGAGGUUUCAGAGGAGGUACAGCAGGACAGCAUCUUGCUGGGAGAAGUAAAGGGAAACAAUACUGGCUGGCAUUCAGACAUUAAACUCAAUGGGGAGGUUGUGUCAUUUAAACUAGACACUGGGGCAGCAGUGACAGCUAUCCCAACUAGGCUGUAUAGCUAUAGCAGAGAUGGACCUUUGCUCUCUACAAACAAAAAAACUGUACGGGCCCAGUAAUAACAUUUUACCAGUGGUAGGGCCCUUGGUGAUCAAACUGGAGAGUAAAGACAAAAGUGCCAUCCAGCUUGUCUUCGUCAUUGACUCUCUAGCCAGACCGUUGCUGGGGCUGCCAGCAAUUGAAGCAUUGCAACUCAUUGAGAGAGUGAGCGAACUGGAGGACCCAGGUGAGGUUUUCAAAAAGAAAUUCCCAAGUGUUUUCUGGUCUAGGAAGGAUAGAAGGUGACUACAAAAUCCACCUGAAAGAGGAUGCUGUCUCCUAUGCCCUUACCACCACCCCCCCCCCGCCAGGUGCCAAUCCCUUUAUUGGCCAGAGUAAAGGAAGAGUUGGGGAGGAUGGAAGACAUUGGGGCGGUGUCUAAAAUAGAGAGUCCCACAGACUGGUGUGCAGGGAUGGUGGUGGUCCCAAAAGCCAAUGGGGAAAUAAGGAUCUGUGUGGACAUGACUAAAUUGAAUGAGGCACUCUGCAGAGAGAGACACAUCUUACCAUCAGUGGAGCAGUCACUGGCUCAGUUGGAUGGCUCACAAAGCUGGAUGCCCGCUCAGGUUUCUGGCAGAUACCGCUGUCAUCAGAGAGUAGGGCACUCACAACGUUUAUAACACCGUUUGGCCGUUACUGUUUUGCCAUUUGGAAUCGGUCCUGAGCAUUUCCAAAGACGCAUGUCCCAGCUGUUGGAUGGGCUGAGUGGUGUCAUAGUCCACGCAGACGAUGUGCUCGUGUGCGGAAGGGACAGAGCAGAACAUGAUGUAAGGCUCACAGCAGUUCUGACCUGACUCCAGGAGACUGGCCUGACACUCAAUGAAAAAUGCACUUUUGCACAAUCAGAGGUCUUGUUCUUGGGACACAAAAUCAGUGCAGCUGGAAUAGAGCCGGACCCAGAGAAGAUCAGCGCUAUCACAGAUAUUCCCAGACCCCAGAAUGUGGCUGAAGUCAGGACCUUCUUAGGCAUGGCCACAUAUGUGGGUAAGUUCCUCCCACAGUUCUCAGAUACAACCAAACCUCUGAGAGACUUACUAGCCAAAGAGAAUGACUGGUCAUGGGGUCACAUGCAACAGGUAGCAUUUGACAAAAUCAAAGGAGAUCUGGCCUCACAGAGAGUGCUGGCCCAGUACCGUCCCCACGCUAAGACAAAAGUAUCAGCGGAUGCAUCAUCCUUUGGGCUAGGGGCGGUCCUCACACAGAUGCAUCAUCCUUUGGGCUAAGGGCGGUCCUCACACAGAUGCAGGACAACAUGGAGUGGCGUCCAAUAGCAUACAUCUCCCGAAGCUUAUCUGACACAGAGCAAAGAUAUGCUCAAGUGGAGAAGGAGGUGUUGGCUAUGACAUGGGCAUGUGAAAGGCUCAGCCAAUACCUUAUUGGCCUGCAGUUUACAGCAGAGACUGACCACAAACCACUGAUGGCUCUAUUAGGGACAAAAGCACUGGACGACUUGCCUCCCAGAGUUCUGCGCUUCCGCCUCAAAUUAUUGAGGUUCACCUACAAGAUGGUGUAUGUGCCAGGGAAGGCACUGAUCACAGCAGAUGCAUUCUCCAGGGCCCCAAUUAAACGUCCAUUAUCAGAGGAGGAGCCAUGUCUAGAGGGUGAGGUACAGGUGUCCAUUAAUGCAAUAAGGGACAGACUACCUGCAUCUCAGACCAAACUGCAGCAGAUUGCAAAGGAGCAACAACGAGACCACAUCUGCCAACAGAUAGUUCAGCAGUGCAAAAAGGGAUGGCCAAGGCAGGAGGAACUGCCUCAGCUGCUGAAGCCCUAUUGGGUGCACCAACAUGACUUCCACUGUAAUGGAGACCUUCUCAUGAAAGGACAACGGAUAGUUAUCCCAGAGACUCUACAACCAAAAAUGCUCGACAGAGUGCAUGAUGGACCCAUGGGGAUAACCAAAUGCAGACUGAGGGCUCAACAGUCAAUGUGGUGGCUGGGUCUGAGCACUCAGAUUGCCAAGCUAGUGGCCCAGUGUGAGGUCUGUACAAAAUGUCAACCUUGUCAUCCGGAGCCAAUGAUGGCAACGGAGCUGCCAAAACGGCCAUGGCAAAAAGUAGGGGCGGAGAUGUUCUAUUGGAAAAAUGACACUUAUCUGCUAGUGGUAGAUUACUACUCAAGAUACAUUGAAAUAGCAAAGACACCCAUAACCAUAUCAGCUGGUGUUACCAAUGGAUUAAAGUCUAUUUUUCCCAGGCAAGGGGUCGCUGAGGUCCUGGUUACAGAUAACGCUCCCCAGUUCUCUGCGAGCUCCUUUUCUGCUUUUCCCGCAGAAUAUGACUUCAUACAUGUGACCAGUAGCCCCUACCAUACACAGAGUAAUGGUGAGGCAGAGAGAGCUGUGAAAGCAGUCAAGGGACUGCUGAAAAAGAACAGGGAUCCAUACAGGGCUCUGUUAGCUUACAGAGUUACACCACUGCAUCAUGGGCCGUCGCCUGCCGAGCUCCUGAUGGGCAGGAGGCUGCGUUCCCCAUUGCCUGUCUCGCCGGCUCAGCUCAAACCCAGAUGGCCUAACAGAAAGGCCUUCGCUGAGAGGGACAAACGUCUGAAACAAACGCAAACUGGAGACUUUUAAUCGGAGACACCGUGCUAAGGAGAGGCCAGAGCUGACCGAAGGUCAACGCGUGUGGAUUACAAACUCAAAGACACCAGCAAUAGUGCUGAGGAAAGCGGAUGCCCCACGCUCCUAUGUGGAGGACACAGGCUCAGAAGAGGUACGAAGGAACAAAACACACCUCAGAGCUCUUCCAGAUCUACCAGCCACACAGACCGAGGCCACAGAAAAUGCACAAAAAGAGGGUGAAGGAGAGAGAAUGCUCACAGAGCCACAAGCGCGCCCAAAACGGGAUGUGAAGCCACCCGAGUGGCUGAAAGACUAUGUUACGUGAAGAGAAAACAUACGGCUGGGGAACAUACCCAGCAAAAAGAGACUGUACCUAAGUUAAUGUUCAUACUGUGUGAUUUAAUGCUUUCAUACGGUUUCAGGAUGGGAAGUAGCAUGUUAGAGAAUAAUACUGGUUUCCAAAUUGCAUUUCAGUUAUGCAUGUUGAGUUCUUGUUCAUGGGAGAGGGGAAGAUGUAGUAGGAUGUCCCUUGGGGGCAUCCGUACCUAUGUAGGACAUGCAAGGGUUAGGUCAAUAAACAGGCUGGAGCUGGAGCUAGAACCUCGUGGUCGCGCGUCUUUAUUUUAGAUCAUACUACAAAAUUAAGUUUUGAUUUCCAAGGCAAUUGGGUGUUGGAUCAUAAUUAUUUUCAACUGGAGGGUCAAAUCCAGUUGUAAUGGCAG